GUCCUGUCUCAACUCAGGAGUCUGUAAUUAAGUGGUUGUUGUUUGUAAAAGAGUUACAUAUUUGUUUUUCAUUAAUUUUUUUUUUGUUAUUUUCUAGUUUGAAUUGUGUUACAUUUGUCCUUUCGGGACCUUUUAUAGUUGUGUAUGCGGUAUGGGAUUUGCUCAUUGUUGUAGGCCGUACGGUGACCCAUAGUUAAUAAUUUCCUGUGUCAAUUGGUCAUUUGUGGAGAAUUGUGUUAUUUGCAAUCAUACCACAUCUUCUUUUUUAUUAAUAUAUUUUCAGAAGAAUGACGCAAAAAACGUCGAAUAUAUUUAUUUGGUUUUUAUUAUCUCCAUGGCACGUUCUGUCAAAUCAUUUGAG
rnacentral:lncRNA from 1 species